GAUGAACGCUGGCGGCAUGCCUAACACAUGCAAGUCGAUCGGUAAGGCUCUUCGGAGUACACGAGAGGCGGACGGCUGAGUAACGCGUAGGAACACACCCUGCAGUGAGGGAUAAGACACCGAAAGGUGUUCUAAUACCGCAUACGGUCUUCGGAUUAAAGCAUUUAUGCGCUGAAGGAGUGGCCUGCGUCAUAUUAGAUAGUUGGUGAGGUAAUGGCUCACCAAGUCGAUGAUGUGUAGCUGGUCUGAGAGGAUGAUCAGCCAGACUGGAACUGAGACACGGUCCAGACUCCUACGGGAAGCAGCAGUGAGGAAUAUUUCACAAUGAGCGAAAGCUUGAUGGGGCAAUGCCGCGUGCAGGAUGAAGGCCCUCGGGUUGUAAACUGCUUUUAUAAGAGAAGAUUAUGACGGUAACUUAUGAAUAAGGGACGGCUAACUACGUG
rnacentral:rRNA from 1 species